rnacentral:rRNA from 1 species
UACAGGGGGUGCAAACGUUGUUCGGAAUCAUUGGGCGUAAAGCGCACGUAGGCGGUUCGUUAUGUCGGAUGUGAAAGCCCUUGGCUUAACCGAGGAAGUGCAUCCGAAACUGGCGAGCUAGAGUACUAAAGAGGAUCGCGGAAUUCCCGGUGUAGAGGUGAAAUUCGUAGAUAUCGGGAGGAACACCGGUGGCGAAGGCGGCGAUCUGGGUAGAUACUGACGCUGAGGUGCGAAAGCGUGGGGAGCAAACAGG